rnacentral:rRNA from 1 species
UUGGAGGGCAAGUCUGGUGCCAGCAGCCGCGGUAAUUCCAGCUCCAAUAGCGUAUAUUAAAGUUGUUGCAGUUAAAAAGCUCGUAGUUGAAUUUCGGGAUUAGUACGUCGGUCGUGCCUUAGGUACGUACUGGUGUUACUGGUUCCUACCUUCUGACGAACCAUCAUGUCAUUAAUUUGGUGUGGUGGGGAAUCAGGACUGUUACUUUGAAAAAAUUAGAGUGUUUAAAGCAGGCUCGCGCUUGAAUACAUUAGCAUGGAAUAAUGAAAUAGGACGUUGAUCCUAUUUUGUUGGUUUCUAGGAUUGACGUAAUGAUUAAUAGGGAUAGUUGGGGGCAUUAGUAUUCAAUUGUCAGAGGUGAAAUUCUUGGAUUUAUUGAAGACUAACUACUGUGAAAGCAUUUGCCAAGGAUGUUUUCAUUAAUCAAGAACGAAAGUUAGGGGAUCGAAGACGAUCAGAUACCGUCGUAGUCUUAACCAUAAACUAUGCCGACUAGGGAUCGGAUGAUGUUAUUUUUAAUGACUCAUUCGGCGCCUUACGGGAAAC